GCAGCUUGCUGCUCUGCUGACGAGUGGCGGACGGGUGAGUAAUGUCUGGGAAACUGCCUGAUGGAGGGGGAUAACUACUGGAAACGGUAGCUAAUACCGCAUAACGUCUACGGACCAAAGUGGGGGACCUUCGGGCCUCAUGCCAUCAGAUGUGCCCAGAUGGGAUUAGCUAGUAGGUGGGGUAACGGCUCACCUAGGCGACGAUCCCUAGCUGGUCUGAGAGGAUGACCAGCCACACUGGAACUGAGACACGGUCCAGACUCCUACGGGAGGCAGCAGUGGGGAAUAUUGCACAAUGGGCGCAAGCCUGAUGCAGCCAUGCCGCGUGUAUGAAGAAGGCCUUCGGGUUGUAAAGUACUUUCAGCGGGGAGGAAGGUGUUGUGGUUAAUAACCACAGCAAUUGACGUUACCCGCAGAAGAAGCACCGGCUAACUCCGUGCCAGCAGCCGCGGUAAUACGGAGGGUGCAAGCGUUAAUCGGAAUUACUGGGCGUAAAGCGCACGCAGGCGGUCGGUUAAGUCAGAUGUGAAAUCCCCGGGCUCAACCUGGGAACUGCAUUUGAAACUGGUCAGCUUGAGUCUCGUAGAGGGGGGUAGAAUUCCAGGUGUAGCGGUGAAAUGCGUAGAGAUCUGGAGGAAUACCGGUGGCGAAGGCGGCCCCCUGGACGAAGACUGACGCUCAGGUGCGAAAGCGUGGGGGAGCAAACAGGAUUAGAUACCCUGGUAGUCCACGCCGUAAACGAUGUCGACUU
rnacentral:rRNA from 1 species